UACGUAGGGUGCGAGCGUUAAUCGGAAUUACUGGGCGUAAAGCGUGCGCAGGCGGUUUUGUAAGCCAGAUGUGAAAGCCCCGGGCUUAACCUGGGAAUGGCAUUUGGGACUGCAAGGCUUGAGUGCGGCAGAGGAGACUGGAAUUCCUGGUGUAGCAGUGAAAUGCGUAGAUAUCAGGAGGAAUACCGAUGGCGAAGGCAGGUCUCUGGGUCGAUACUGACGCUCAUGCACGAAAGCGUGGGGAGCAAACAGG
rnacentral:rRNA from 1 species